rnacentral:rRNA from 1 species
AACGAACGCUGGCGGCAUGCCUAACACAUGCAAGUCGAACGAGACCUUCGGGUCUAGUGGCGCACGGGUGCGUAACGCGUGGGAACCUGCCCUUAGGUUCGGAAUAACUCCCCGAAAGGGGUGCUAAUACCGGAUAAUGUCUUCGGACCAAAGAUUUAUCGCCUUUGGAUGGGCCCGCGUUGGAUUAGCUAGUUGGUAGGGUAAAAGCCUACCAAGGCGACGAUCCAUAGCUGGUCUGAGAGGAUGAUCAGCCACACUGGGACUGAGACACGGCCCAGACUCCUACGGGAGGCAGCAGUGGGGAAUAUUGGACAAUGGGCGAAAGCCUGAGCCAGCAAUGCCGCGUGAGGGAUGAAGGCCUUAGGGUUGUAAAGCUCUUUUACCCGGGAUGAUAAUGACAGUACCGGGAGAAUAAGCUCCGGCUAACUCCGUG